rnacentral:rRNA from 1 species
GAGAGGGUGGGUCCCUUGGGGCGGUGAUACAUGGGUUGUCAUCAUUCGCCGCUCCGUUGGCCACGCUCCGGAGCCCCGUCGAACGAUUGGUCUUCCCCUCUAGGUUGACCUCGGAUCAGGUAGGGAUACCCGCUGAACUUAAGCAUAUCAAUAAGCGGAGGAAAAGAAACCAACCGGGAUUGCCUCAGUAACGGCGAGUGAAGCGGCAAGAGCUCAAAUUUGAAAUCUGGCCCCUCCCCGGGGUCCGAGUUGUAAUUUGGAGAGGAUGCUUCGGGUUCGGUCCCGGUCCAAGUGCCCUGGGAUGGGCUGUCGGAGAGGGUGAGAAUCCCGUCUGCGACCGGUGAUUGGGCCUGGGUGAAGCUCCCUCGACGAGUCGAGUUGUUUGGGAAUGCAGCUCUAAAUGGGUGGUAAAUUUCAUCUAAAGCUAAAUAUGGGCCGGAGACCGAUAGCGCACAAGUAGAGUGAUCGAAAGAUGAAAAGCACUUUGGAAAGAGAGUCAAACAGCACGUGAAAUUGUUGAAAGGGAAGCGCUUGCGAUCAGACUCGCCCGGGGAGGUUCGGCCGGCACUUGUGCCGGUGCAUAUUCCUCCCCGGGCGGGCCAGCGUCGGUUUGGACGGCCUGUCAAAGGCCGCCGGAAGGUAGCGCCCUUUGGGGCGUCUUAUAGCCGGUGGUGCCAUGUGGCCUGUCUGGACCGAGGAACGCGCCUUCGGGCUCGGACGCUGGCGUAAUGGUCGUAAGCGGCCCGUCUUGAAACACGGACCAAGGAGUCUAACAUCCACGCGAGUGUUCGGGUGUUCAAAACCCGUCCGCGCAGUGAAAGCGAACGGAGGUGGGAACCCCUUGGGGUGCACCAUCGACCGAUCCUGAUGUCUUCGGAUGGAUUUGAGUAGGAGCGUGGCCGUUGGGACCCGAAAGAUGGUGAACUAUGCCUGAAUAGGGCGAAGCCAGAGGAAACUCUGGUGGAGGCUCGCAGCGGUUCUGACGUGCAAAUCGAUCGUCAAAUUUGGGUAUAGGGGCGAAAGACUAAUCGAACCAUCUGGUAGCUGGUUCCUGCCGAAGUUUCCCUCAGGAUAGCAGUAACGAGAUCAGUUUUAUGAGGUAAAGCGAAUGAUUAGAGGCCUUGGGGUUGAAACAACCUUAACCUAUUCUCAAACUUUAAAUAUGUAAGAAGCCCUUGUUGCUUUGUUGAACGUGGGCGCUGGAAUGGAUCGUUACUAGUGGGCCAUUUUUGGUAAGCAGAACUGGCGAUGCGGGAUGAACCGAACGCGAGGUUAAGGUGCCGGAAUGCACGCUCAUCAGACACCACAAAAGGUGUUAGUUCAUCUAGACAGCCCGACGGUGGCCAUGGAAGUCGGAAUCCGCUAAGGAGUGUGUAACAACUCACGGGCCGAAUGAACUAGCCCUGAAAAUGGAUGGCGCUCAAGCGUGCUACCCAUACCUCGCCGUCGGGGUACCACGAUGCCCCGACGAGUAGCCAGGCGUGGGGGUCGGUGACAAGCCUUGGGAGUGAUCCUGGGUGGAACGGCCCUA